rnacentral:rRNA from 1 species
GACGGGUGAGUAACGCGUGGGUAACCUGCCUUAUACAGGGGGAGUAACAGUCAGAAAUGGCUGCUAAUACCGCAUAAGCGCACAGAGCUGCAUGGCUCAGUGUGAAAAACUCCGGUGGUAUAAGAUGGACCCGCGUUGGAUUAGCUAGUUGGUGGGGUAACGGCCCACCAAGGCGACGAUCCAUAGCCGGCCUGAGAGGGUGAACGGCCACAUUGGGACUGAGACACGGCCCAGACUCCUACGGGAGGCAGCAUG